UUGUUUUUUAUUUUGCUUAUAAAUGUCAGCCGCCAGUACUUGUCAACUGCCAUGUAAUUGGCCUCCGAAAAUGUGGUCAUGUUAUUUAUUUUGUGGUUCGUGCUACCAUUGAUUCUACUUUAAAACAUUAAGGUCUCUACAAUUUACAUUUAGUUAGGUACAUUUGUAGAUAACAGUACCUGUCAAAAUACAAAGCUCAAUAAUUAGUCAGAGGAGAAAAGAAAAGUUUCCGUAAAGUAUUUCUGAACGAUUCUUGUUUAUGUAUGUGAUUCAGACGUCUUGCUUGCGGUUGAUUUCUAGAUUCUUUCAGCAGGACCGACGUAAAAACUAGAUGGAAUUGUCUCUGCAAACACACUAGACCAGCUAACACAAAUAGGGCAAGAAUAAGAUCAUGGAAAAUUUGAGAAUAUAAUUAUUGUUCUGAGAUAGAAUAUAUUUAAAGAAUUUAUUAAUAUUGCACUUUGAAGAAAUUUCAUUGGCUACAUCAGAGUCUUCGUUUUAUCCUUUUCCGAUUAUAAAAGCAAUUGUGAUUUAAACUUAAGUAAUAAUUAAUAUAUUACGCACGCUCUCGCAGCAAAUCAUUCGCAAUAAUUACCCAAAAAUAUCCACAACUGUAUUUACCUAUGUUUAACAAAAAUAAAUGAUUAUGAAUGUGUUUUCUAUAUUUUUAUGUACAGCUACAUAGCGCAAGAAUAAAGUCUCAUUAAAUUAUAAGAAAAUCAGCUACACUUUUGUAUUUACUGUUAGCACAAACACCAUUUCUGUCCUGGGAAGGCGUUUUAAAUAUCAAAUAGCUGUUGUGGUACUCAAACAUACUCAUAUCUGAAACUAGUUAUAUUUGGUAGGUAUGUUAUUCAACAAAGUGUUUUGACCACAGCUCGUCCGAUAGUAUAUCAAAGUUAUUUAAUGUCAAUAUCAUAUUACGAUUCGCAACGCAAAUAGAUAUGUUUGUGUACAUUAAUCGAAAUUUAUAUAUAGAGUCACAUGUAUUCCUGAUUAUAAUAAGAUUUUGGUAUAAUAUAAUCCAGUAAAUGAUCAAGUGAUUUGUAAAGAUGACCACUGCCCAAAACACCCAGAGGAAUAGAACAAUCAUUGGUGUGGCUUUAAGGAAUUUUAGGGAGUGGACGGGGUAGGUAUUUGGGCUAAAUCUUACCUAACAUACGGAACUAUAGAGAGCUGCAUUUUCGCAUAGGUUUUUAAGUACAAUUUUACUAGAAUCGAAUCACUCAUCUAUAAAUAUGUUUAUAGAGUGGCUUUACCAUUUUAUAAAUCAAAGUAUAGUACGGAUAUGAACUGCGAAGAUCUUUAAAUUUGAUUUCAAAACCAAACCAAAAUCCAACAGAUGUGCGGUUUGCGACAAAAAGUCUCAUAUUAACCGCAGGAAGCAAUGUAAGUGACUUGUUACAUAAAUUAUGAAGUUUUCCACUUCCAAAACCCAUGUCCUUACCUCCUAAAACCGAAAAUUUUACAUUCAAACAACAAACCAAACGUUAUAUAAGAGUACGUCACAAUCCAAAUAUUUUCCGGUGAUAAGCCCAGGGUUGGUCCGCGCCAGUUCGCAGCUCCCUCAGACUCUGUGCUAUCAAUCAUGUUAUCAGUUAAUUUUGUGUAACCGUCGUGUUUAGCUUCGUGCUGCACGGAAUUCUAUAGAUAAUGGCGUUUAGGAUUAUCUUUACAUCUCUAUGGUGCGAGUAUAGGUGCGUAGUCUAUGGAAUAAUU